rnacentral:rRNA from 1 species
AGAACGAACGCUGGCGGCAGGCCUCAAACAUGCAAGUCUAGGGGGUGUAGCAAUACAUCACCGGCGGACGGGUGCGUAACACGUGGGAAUAUACCUUUUGGUUCGGAACAACGCAGGGAAACUUGUGCUAAUACCGGAUAAGCCCUUACGGGGAAAGAUUUAUCGCCGAAAGAUUGGCCCGCGUCUGAUUAGCUAGUUGGUGAGGUAACGGCUCACCAAGGCGACGAUCAGUAGCUGGUCUGAGAGGAUGAUCAGCCACAUUGGGACUGAGACACGGCCCAAACUCCUACGGGAGGCAGCAGUGGGGAAUAUUGGACAAUGGGCGCAAGCCUGAUCCAGCCAUGCCGCGUGAGUGAUGAAGGCCCUAGGGUUGUAAAGCUCUUUUGUGCGGGAAGAUAAUGACGGUACCGCAAGAAUAACGCCCCGGCUAACUUCGCGCCAGCAGCCGC